rnacentral:rRNA from 1 species
GGCGGCGUGCCUAACACAUGCAAGUCGAGCGGUCUGGCAUUUAACAUUGAGUAUUCAGAUGAAUCUGAGUAUUGAAUGUUAAAUGUCGGAUAGCGGCGGACGGGUGAGUAACGCGUGGGUAACCUGCCUUAUACAGGGGGAUAACACAGGGAAACUUGUGCUAAUACCGCAUAAUAUCAUUGUAUGGCAUCAUGUGAUGAUCAAAGGAGCAAUCCGGUAUAAGAUGGACCCGCGUCCAAUUAGCUAGUUGGUGGUGUAACGGACCACCAAGGCGACGAUUGGUAGCCGAACUGAGAGGUUGAUCGGCCACAUUGGGACUGAGACACGGCCCAGACUCCUACGGGAGGCAGCAGUGGGGAAUAUUGCACAAUGGGGGAAACCCUGAUGCAGCAACGCCGCGUGAAGGAUGAAGGUUUUCGGAUCGUAAACUUCUUUGAUGAGGGACGAAUAAUGACGGUACCUCAAGAACAAGCCACGGCUAACUACGUG